AGCGGCCACAGGAGCGGGGAAACGCCGGAACCCAUUCCGAACUCCGCAGCUAAGACCGCUCACGGCGCUGCCUGUACUGCCUUG
rnacentral:rRNA from 1 species